rnacentral:rRNA from 1 species
GACCUCGGAUCAGGUAGGGAUACCCGCUGAACUUAAGCAUAUCAAUAAGCGGAGGAAAAGAAACCAACAGGGAUUGCCCUAGUAACGGCGAGUGAAGCGGCAACAGCUCAAAUUUGAAAUCUGGCUCUUUCAGAGUCCGAGUUGUAAUUUGCAGAGGGCGCUUUGGCUUUGGCAGCGGUCCAAGUUCCUUGGAACAGGACGUCACAGAGGGUGAGAAUCCCGUACGUGGUCGCUAGCUAUUGCCGUGUAAAGCCCCUUCGACGAGUCGAGUUGUUUGGGAAUGCAGCUCUAAAUGGGAGGUAAAUUUCUUCUAAAGCUAAAUAUUGGCCAGAGACCGAUAGCGCACAAGUAGAGUGAUCGAAAGAUGAAAAGCACUUUGGAAAGAGAGUCAAACAGCACGUGAAAUUGUUGAAAGGGAA